rnacentral:tRNA from 2 species
GCGCCGAUGGUUUAGUGGGAAAAUUCUCAGUUAUCAUCCAGCAGCGUCGGGGAGCCGGGGGUUGGAUCCCCCCUCGGCGCA